rnacentral:rRNA from 1 species
GACGAACCCGUGCGAACGUUGUUCGGAAUCACUGGGCUUAAAGGGCGCGUAGGCGGACCGCCAAGUCCGUGGUGAAACCCUCCAGCUUAACUGGAGAACUGCCGCGGAUACUGGAGGUCUCGAGGGAGGUAGGGGCAAGCGGAACUGUGGGUGGAGCGGUGAAAUGCGUUGAUAUCCACAGGAACUCCGGUGGCGAAGGCGGCUUGCUGGACCUUUUCUGACGCUGAGGCGCGAAAGCCAGGGGAGCAAACGGGAUUAGAAACCC